rnacentral:rRNA from 1 species
GACGUAGGGCGCGAGCGUUGUCCGGAUUUAUUGGGCGUAAAGGGCUCGUAGGCGGUCUGUCACGUCGGGAGUGAAAACACGGGGCUUAACCCCGGGUCUGCAUUCGAUACGGGCAGGCUAGAGUUCGGUAGGGGAGAUCGGAAUUCCUGGUGUAGCGGUGAAAUGCGCAGAUAUCAGGAGGAACACCGGUGGCGAAGGCGGCUCACUGGCUCAUAUCUGACGCUCAGGCGCGACAGCGUGGGGAGUCAAACAGGA